rnacentral:rRNA from 1 species
CCUACGGGAGGCAGCAGUGGGGGAUAUUGCACAAUGGGGGAAACCCUGAUGCAGCGACGCCGCGUGGGUGAAGAAGCGCCUCGGCGCGUAAAGCCCUGUCAGCAGGGAAGAAAAUGACGGUACCUGAAGAAGAAGCCCCGGAUAACUACGUGCCAGCAGCCGCGGUAAUACGGAGGGGGCAAGCGUUAUACGGAUUUACUGGGUGUAAAGGGGGCGCAGACGGCGAUGCAAGCCAGGAGUGAAAGCCCGGGGCCUAACCCCGGGACUGCUCUUGGAACUGCGUGGCUAGAGUGCAGGAGGGGCAGGCGGAAUUCCUGGUGUAGCGGUGAAAUGCGUAGAUAUCAGGAGGAACACCGGUGGCGAAGGCGGCCUGCUGGACUGCAACUGACGUUGAGGCCCGAAAGCGUGGGGAGCAAACAGGAUUAGAUACCCGAGUAGUC